rnacentral:lncRNA from 1 species
UGAUGCUUGCCUGAGAGAAAAGAGGUGGGACUGCAGAUAAAGUACUUGAGGAAUGUGCUUUGAUAGCUUCUUAUAGGCAAAUAAAACAGCACAGCUGAGGAAAUAAAGUGUAAAAACCACCGGAUUAGAAACUGUUGUGUGUCUUUCCCUUUUGCUUUUCACCAUCUGCUUGAAAGCCCCUGCAGAAGAUGCCUCGGUUUCAAACAGCAGGUUCAAAGGCACAGCUCCAGAUAUCUGAGCUAAAGGGAGACUGAGUAUCACGUCUGGGAAAGAGCUGAGGAGGUAUGAAGCCAGUUCCUAACCUGCCAGGCACCACAGCAGACUGUCGUAGCCAACUGAAGGCUGAAUAAUGGUAACUCAAUAUUAACCUGCUUCUACUACUUCCCUACUGUGUUCAUAUUCAUCUUUUCUAGUAUCU